UACAGAGGGUGCGAGCGUUGUCCGGAAUCACUGGGCGUAAAGGGCGCGUAGGCGGCUCGGUCAGCGUGCGGUGAAAGCCCGGGGCUCAACCCCGGGUCGGCCGUGCGAACUGCUGGGCUGGAGCACUGUAGAGGCAGGUGGAAUUCCGGGUGUAGCGGUGGAAUGCGUAAAGAUCCGGAAGAACACCGGUGGCGAAGGCGGCCUGCUGGGCAGUAGCUGACGCUGAUGCGCGACAGCGUGGGGAGCAAACAGG
rnacentral:rRNA from 1 species